AGAGUGCUAAGAUGUUCCAUUCCUUUUUAAGGAGAUUCCACUGGCCCUUUAAGCAAGAAACGACUUCACAGUUGAAACCUUGGUUUGGAAGACUCUUGUUUCAAAUCUCGGCAGCAUCCAAUGAGCCCUCCUCAUCAGCUGAUGGUGAAGUAGCUGCAUAUCAAGAAUUGGUCUUCCCAAAGCCUAGGCUUUCAGGAGAACUUGGAAGUUUUCAGACAAAAAAGAACGGUGUUUGUAAACCAGAGUCUUUGAAAUCGGUGUGUAUGUUACACCUACAACACAUCCCACACUGGAGGAGCCACCCUCCCAGGGCGAGACAGCAACACAGGCCUCCUGGCCACCCACACAGAGAAUAGAUACAUGAACUUCGGUACAUUGAUGCGGCAGAAUAAGACGGUGUACAGCAGUGACACCAAAGGAACCAUGGC